AGGAUUAUUGUGCACAUACCAUAAAUGUGUCCCUGGGAGAGUGAUGGAUGUUCAAGAUCUGACAAAGAGCCUGAAGAAGUAGUGCUCUGAAACAGUUCUAGAAGUACUCCAUUUUCAAUUCUACCAAAUGGUAACUUUCCAAUUCGGCGGCCCCACAGCCAAACCCUGUGGGAGAGUCAGACCUCCACUAAUAUUUGGAGUCCCUAAAUGCCUGGAGUGAAAAAGAAAGUCUACAUACAUAAACAGGAAGUGGUUUCGGUGAGUCUCAGCCCGGAUAAUAAGUAAAGUUUUUGAGAUUAAAGACCAGACGAGGCGC
rnacentral:lncRNA from 1 species